rnacentral:sRNA from 1 species
GGAUGUGAGGGCGAUCUGGCUGCGACAUCUGUCACCCCAUUGAUCGCCAGGGUUGAUUCGGCUGAUCUGGCUGGCUAGGCGGGUGUCCCCUUCCUCCCUCACCGCUCCAUGUGCGUCCCUCCCGAAGCUGCGCGCUCGGUCGAAGAGGACGACCAUCCCCGCUAGAGGAGGACAGGUCUUCGGUCAAGGGUAUACGAGUAGCUGCGCUCCCCUGCUAGAACCUCCAAACAAGCUCUCAAAAGAAACUCCAUUUUCAUGAACAUUUGCCUUCCUAUUACACCAUGAGUAUUUGUUUCCAAAGGAAGGAAAAGAGUUGG